rnacentral:rRNA from 1 species
UCCAGACUCCUACGGGAGGCAGCAGUGGGGAAUAUUGCACAAUGGGGGAAACCCUGAUGCAGCGACGCCGCGUGAGUGAAGAAGUAUCUCGGUACGUAAAGCUCUCUCAGCAGGGAAGAAAAUGACGGUACCUGACUAAGAAGCCCCGGCUAACUACGUGCCAGCAGCCGCGGUAAUACGUAGGGGGCAAGCGUUAUCCGGAAUUACUGGGUGUAAAGGGAGCGUAGACGGUUAAGUAAGUCUGGAGUGAAAGGCCGGGGCCCAACCCCGGGACUGCUCUGGAAACUAUUCAACUUGAGUGCAGGAGAGGUAAGCGGAAUUCCUAGUGUAGCGGUGAAAUGCGUAGAUAUUAGGAGGAACACCAGUGGCGAAGGCGGCCAACUGGGCUUUAACUGACGCUGAGGCUCGAAAGUGUGGGGAGCAAACAGGAUUAGAUACCCCAGUAAC